UUAUGUCGAUAUUGUAGGGCUAAUGCGAGAUGGCGAUUGCAAUGGCGCUGUCAAGAAUGCCACCGCCGAUGAUCGGGCACGCGAUCGGCAAUGGACAAGCGGCAUGGCCUGGCAAAUGCUGUCAGCUGGAGGAAAGGCUGAUGAAUCUCGAGAGGCACCAGGUAAACAGAGUGGUGCCGGCAAUCAGGCAAUGGAUCCGGGAAGGAAAUAGUGUGACCAGCUGUGGCCUGGAUCGUGUAGUGCGGAGGCUUCGCUCCAGGAAGCGCUAUCUUCAAGCUCUCAUGGCACUGGACUGGGUUGCAAACGAGAAAGUGAUCCCAUUCGGCUACCACGAAACUCUCCAGCGCCUCGACCUUUGCUCGCGUUGUCACCACGUAACGAGGACACUUCUACUCUUUCGGAGGCUUCCAAAGCAGUGGAGGAGUGAGGACGCCUACUGCAUUCUUCUCGAACUGUACUACAAGAGGGACAUGCUGGAGGACGCGGAGAAGACAAUGCAAGAGCUGAGAGGGAUUGGGAUCAAAAGCUUGCAACCUUACCAUCUCAUGCUCUCGUUUUACAAGCUCCGGGGCAUGGAAAUGAGGUUUGAGCGUAUGGUGACGGAGAUCAAGGGCUCCGGGUUGGCACUCGAUCGCUCUUUCUAUACGAUUCUGCUGGCUGCUCGUGACAGCUUUGGAGGUGACAUGGUUGCUGUGGAAGACGUUCUAGCCGAGAUGGAAGGCAGAGGGUUGAAACUCGAUGCAGUGGGGUGCUUGGCGGUGGCUGGGAUUUAUCUCAGGAGUGGACUGCGCCACAAGUCGGAACGGGUCUUACAGAGGUUGGAAAAGUCACUGAAGUCAGGUGAGUUCAAGGACUCGAAUUCUAUACGAAGGAGGAUGCUGGCCAUGUUUGGGAAACUAGGAGACAGGGAUGCAGUUGACAGGAUUUGGCAUUCAAUAGAGCGCUCUGCAAGUACUACCGUGGAGGAUUUCAUCUUUGGCAUUGAAGCGUUUGGUAGAGUGGGAAAGAUGGACGAAGCCGAGGAUAUGUAUAUGCGAGUAGGAUGCAACAGCUGCAAUCCGAGGCUACACAAUGCCUUUCUCGCUGUCCUCGUGGAGCAGGGUGAUGUGAUUCGAGCCGUUGCUUUAGUGGAACGUAUGAAGGGUGUCAGAUGUCUUCUGAGCACGGUCACUUAUCAUCUUCUCAUCAAGGUCUACCUGAAGGCUGGCGAUGUGAGCCGAGCUACGCUCGCAUUCGAGAGCCUAAGAUCGGCUUUCGGGAAACUGGAGUGGCCGCGUCCUUCUUCAGAAACACUAGCGGUAAUGCUGGAGUUUUUCGUUGGAAUAGGAGACGUGCAGGCCAGUGAACGUCUUGUCAAGAAGUGGAUGGAAGAUGGCUUUCCCUUGAGUGCCGCGGUUUUCCACUCCCUUUUCAGGGUAUAUGCGAAAGGCGGAGCUGGUGUUGACAACUUUCCUGGACGAAUGCUCAGUGCUGGAGUUGAGCCAACUCGUGAGACGGAGCAGCUUUUGAGGCAAAUCUCGACGUUUUUGCGCGAGAACAGCAAAAAAGAUUUUCCUUUAUCCGAUCGCCGAGGUGAAACAAGUUCAUGCAGAUGGCUACGUACUAGGCACUUACUGUGUGUGCUGCUGCAGACGAAAGUGAGACGAGGAGAAGGAUGGCUUACUUUCUCGGUGGUGGAAAGCCUCCUGAUCUCGAUCGGUUUGAGAAUGUGAUCUACUUCUUCCAAGUCGCUCCCGCCCUCAAGACCGUCCAUGAGCUCCCAGCUGGCAGAGAGCUCUGAGGUGCCGCCUGUUUGGAUAGUAUGCAUCCCAUUGCAAGAUCAGUGGGCGAGUCCUUGUGCUGCCUGGCCUGCAAUUAUUUAUUCUCUGGCAAUGAUGGCAAGGUGGUAGAUUGUGGAGGUGGCACUCAUUGCAGAGGAGAUUCGGUUUGCAAGAAAGGAAUGGGUUUAGAUCCGAGUUAAGAGACCUACACUCAGAAUAUCUGGGGUGGAUUGGCGUGGAAGCCAUGGCAUGGAGAGAAAAUUCCGUCGAAUCGAAGAUUUGAUAACUGACAAAACAAGCCAAGUCCAGGAAUCGCUUGGGAUGAAAUUAUGUUCCUGAAAA